rnacentral:rRNA from 1 species
CAGUAGCCGCGGGAAUACAGAGGGUGCGAGCGUUAAUCGGAUUUACUGGGCGUAAAGCGUGCGUAGGCGGCUUCUUAAGUCGGAUGUGAAAUCCCUGAGCUUAACUUAGGAAUUGCAUUCGAUACUGGGAAGCUAGAGUAUGGGAGAGGAUGGUAGAAUUUUAGGUGUAGCGGUGAAAUGCGUAGAGAUCUGGAGGAAUACCGAUGGCGAAGGCAGCCAUCUGGCCUAAUACUGACGCUGAGGUACGAAAGCAUGGGGAGCAAACAGGAUUAGAUACCCGCGUAGUCCCUGUCUCUUAUAC